UGCUCACUACACAGGCUCAGCACUUCAUGU
rnacentral:piRNA from 1 species